rnacentral:rRNA from 1 species
GAUGAACGCUAGCUACAGGCUUAACACAUGCAAGUCGAGGGGAAACGGGAGAAUAGCUUGCUAUUCUUUGUCGUCGACCGGCGCACGGGUGAGUAACGCGUAUCCAACCUUCCCAUAACUAAGGAAUACCCCGUAGAAAUGCGGCCUAAUCCCUUAUGGUCUCUUACGCUGACAUCGGAAUAAGAGUAAAGAUUUAUCGGUUAUGGAUGGGGAUGCGUCUGAUUAGCUUGCUGGCGGGGUAACGGCCCACCAGGGCAUCGAUCAGUAGGGGUUCUGAGAGGAAGGUCCCCCACAUUGGAACUGAGACACGGUCCAAACUCCUACGGGAGGCAGCAGUGAGGAAUAUUGGUCAAUGGGGCGAGAGCCCUGAAACCAGCCAAAGUAGCGUGCCAGGAUGACGGCCCCUAUGGGUUGUAAAACUG